rnacentral:lncRNA from 1 species
UGUGAAGAUCGAUUUGUGAAGGAGAGGGAUUUAGCAAAGGAUGGGAGUGGAAAUCGAUGUUUGAAGGAUUGGAAUUGCUGAAUUAGGGAUUCACCUUACAGAUCUGCACCACCCAUUUACCCAAAAACAACUAACCACGCUCGCAGCAGAUCUGCACUCGCAAACCCUAGCUCCGCCUACGGACACUCGCAAACCCUAGUCUGCAGACGUGCACAGACGGAUGGAGCUUCUGUAAAUCAGGUUAGAAAUCCCGAUUUACCCAAAAGAAAUCGGCUAGUUUAAAAAAAGAUCGAAGGCUAUGAAUUUAAGAUCGAGCUUACUUGUUUGAUGUCUGAAUUGAUUCUUAUUUCUGUCUGAAUCAUCAAACUACAGAAGAAAACAACGACGACGAAAACAAUCAGAAAAAAUGAGAAAGAAGAAGUCGUUGCAUCGGCACAUACUACAGCAUCUACACCAAGCAAGAAGAUCAAAAGCGGAUUCCGAUUUGGUACGCCGAUAGGGUUUUCCAAAAUUAAAGGGGAGAAGAAAAAAAGAAC